rnacentral:rRNA from 1 species
AGGCUUUGAAGUGUGGACGCCAGUCUGCAUGGAGCCGACCUUGAAAUACCACCCUUUAAUGUUUGAUGUUCUAACGUGGACCCGUGAUCCGGGUUGCGGACAGUGUCUGGUGGGUAGUUUGACUGGGGCGGUCUCCUCCUAAAGAGUAACGGAGGAGCACGAAGGUUGGCUAAUCCUGGUCGGACAUCAGGAGGUUAGUGCAAUGGCAUAAGCCAGCUUGACUGCGAGCGUGACGGCGCGAGCAGGUGCGAAAGCAGGUCAUAGUGAUCCGGUGGUUCUGAAUGGAAGGGCCAUCGCUCAACGGAUAAAAGGUACUCCGGGGAUAACAGGCUGAUACCGCCCAAGAGUUCAUAUCGACGGCGGUGUUUGGCACCUCGAUGUCGGCUCAUCACAUCCUGGGGCUGAAGUAGGUCCCAAGGGUAUGGCUGUUCGCCAUUUAAAGUGGUACGCGAGCUGGGUUUAGAACGUCGUGAGACAGUUCGGUCCCUAUCUGCCGUGGGCGCUGGAGAACUGAGGGGGGCUGCUCCUAGUACGAGAGGACCGGAGUGGACGCAUCACUGGUGUU